rnacentral:rRNA from 1 species
UACGAAGGGGGCUAGCGUUGCUCGGAAUCACUGGGCGUAAAGCGCACGUAGGCGGCUUUUUAAGUCAGAGGUGAAAUCCUGGAGCUCAACUCCAGAACUGCCUUUGAUACUGGAGAGCUUGAGUCCGGGAGAGGUGAGUGGAACUGCGAGUGUAGAGGUGAAAUUCGUAGAUAUUCGCAAGAACACCAGUGGCGAAGGCGGCCUUCUGGACAGUGACUGACGCUGAGACGCGAAAGCGUGGGGAGCAAACAGG